rnacentral:tRNA from 1 species
GCUGAGAUAGCAAAGUGGUCGAAUGCACGGGAUUGCAAAUCCUGUUUCUUAAGAACAUCGGGGGUUCAAAUCCCUCUCUCAGCU